rnacentral:rRNA from 1 species
UACGUAGGGACCAAGCGUUGUUCGGAUUUACUGGGCGUAAAGGGCGCGUAGGCGGCGCGGUAAGUCACUUGUGAAAUCUCUGAGCUUAACUCAGAACGGCCAAGUGAUACUGCAGUGCUAGAGUGUGGAAGGGGCAAUCGGAAUUCUUGGUGUAGCGGUGAAAUGCGUAGAUAUCAAGAGGAACACCUGAGGUGAAGACGGGUUGCUGGGCCAACACUGACGCUGAUGCGCGAAAGCUAGGGGAGCGAACAGG